AGUUUGAUCCUGGCUCAGGAUGAACGCUAGCUACAGGCUUAACACAUGCAAGGUCGAGGGGCAGCACUGGCGUAGCAAUACGCCUGGUGGCGACCGGCGCACGGGUGAGUAACGCGUAUCCAACCUGGCCCUUAGUAGGGAAUAGCCCGUAGAAAUGCGGAUUAAUGCCCUAUGUUGUUCGUCGAUGACAUCUGAGAUGAACCAAAGAUUGAUCGCUAAGGGAUGGGGAUGCGUCUGAUUAGGUAGUCGGCGGGGUAACGGCCCACCGAGCCUUCGAUCAGUAGGGGUUCUGAGAGGAAGGUCCCCCACAUUGGAACUGAGACACGGUCCAAACUCCUACGGGAGGCAGCAGUGAGGAAUAUUGGUCAAUGGGCGCAAGCCUGAACCAGCCAAGUAGCGUGCGGGAUGAAGGCCCUACGGGUUGUAAACCGCUUUUUCACGGGGAUAAAGAGGGCCACGCGUGGCCCGUUGCAGGUACCGUGCGAAUAAGGACCGGCUAAUUCCGUGCC
rnacentral:rRNA from 1 species